rnacentral:rRNA from 1 species
CUGCUGGACCGUAACUGACGUUGAUGCUCGAAAGUGUGGGUAUCAAACAGGAUUAGAUACCCUGGUAGUCCACACGGUAAACGAUGGAUACUCGCUGUUGGCGAUACACUGUCAGCGGCCAAGCGAAAGCAUUAAGUAUCCCACCUGGGGAGUACGCCGGCAACGGUGAAACUCAAAGGAAUUGACGGGGGCCCGCACAAGCGGAGGAACAUGUGGUUU